rnacentral:lncRNA from 1 species
CAGGGGAUAAACACACAUGAGAGAGCAAGUGAUGUGGAGUGGCGAUCCAAGUCAUUCCCUCCGCACACCUACAAACCUCAUAUAAAAUAAUACCAAGUAUCUUAUAUACCUGUGGUUACUCAAUCGUGUAAGUUAAACAAAAUAAUUAGCCUUCAUGCAGCAGCAGCGUCCGACUCAUCGAUGCAUCCACUGUCCAUUCUUUACAGAGUUGAUGAUAGCAUCACAUAUAUAUUUUUGAACGCCUAAAUCUUGCCCUUUGGCACUUCCUGAAAGUUAAUAGGCACCAUGUUAGCCAAUAUACAAACAAUUAAAUGCGUGUAUCUGCUGUACUAAGUGCUGGAAUUUUGGGGGGCCAAGAAGCCGUAUUUGACUUUGGUCCCAAGAAUAAGAGUUUCUGAAUCGUUUCUGUUCAACGCUAAAAAAAAAUAAAUAAAUAAAUUGUUAUCAUGCAAAACUUUCGGCAUCAGUAUGUGAUAAGACCAUGAGAUGGAAGCUCCAAACAAGGAAGAUAAGCAAAAUUUGUAUAUAAGAUAUGAUGUUAAUCCUCUCAAGCCAGUAUCAAAAGGCCAAGUGAAAGUUUCAGUAGAUGAGUGAUUUGUUUAAAACAUAAUGGAGCAAUUAUAUAUUGUCAUGCGCUAUAAUUAAUUAGCUAAUGGUCGAUUCAGCAAAACUAUAGUUCUUACCUUGUAUACCGGAACACCUUCUUUCCCUACUGUGUCUAAGACCAUUCCAGCUGCAGAUGCAAAAUUUUGAGGGGCUCUUCCUUGUCACUUUAGCUGGGUCAACGACUCCAACUUGUCAACCAUAGCAUUGUGACCAAUCAUCGCUGCAGGUGCCACAGUGCCUGUUCAAACACAAAUUAGUCCAAUAUAUGAAAGAUUAAAUCAAACUCUGCAGUUACUCUAAUGUUUAACUCAUAAAUAUCAACCAAAAAUUGAUGAAUCAAUUCAGUCUGGAUCAGAUUCUUGGAUGCUGCAUCAGCAAUAAAGGUAGUAGCCUUUUGUAAGUUUGUGAUCUCCUUGCUCUCCCCAGUUGCUUGACUGAUACAUUCUCAAUAAGUAAGCCAAGCUAUUUGGCUCCAAAUUCAGCUCCUAGAUACUGUACAAUAUGACAAGCGAUCAGAAAGAAGAAAACAGGUCUUUUUCUUGGUUAUAGAACCAUUAGGAUUGUGAAAAUUCAAGAAGACAUCGAUUCAAAAAGAUGGCUAAAUGACAUCGAGAAUGACCGCAUCACAUAUUUUUGGACUGAUUACAAAAUAUGGUUCCCAGAUUGUCAUUACAGACGUAUAAUAUGCAGUGGAUUGAUAACAGAUAAAAGAUGUUGUCAAUCUUUUUUUUUUUUUUUGUGGCAUGCUUACAAAAUAAAUGUAUAAAGUAGGAAAGUGAAAAAUAAAUGGUAUUUGGAAAUGGAAUUCACCUGAUACUUGAAUUACAAAUUGAACAGCAAAGAAACAAUUGGAAAAGAACCAGCUAUAUAAAUGGCAACUCCAUUUUUGCACAUAGUUUAUUCUUGUUGACAGCCAAAAACAGGUUUAGAAGGUUUCAGUCCUCCUCUGAGUAAUAAAGAGACCAAAAGUGGAAGAAAUACAGAAGAGAUGAAUUAACCAAAAUUUGAACUGGCAGGUUUCAGUCUAAAUUAUGCAAGCUUAAGCUAAAGGGACAUGCAUCAUUGAAGUAAAGCCCAAUGGAACUCUAUUUUUAAGUUACCAGUUACAUUUUACAAAGUGCCUGAGACUCUCGUAAAGCCCAGGAUUUCAUUCAUAAGAUAGAAACUUCAUAAAAGAGAAGAUGACCAGGUCCUAAAGAAUCUUGAGAACAACUGUCAAUGAUCGUAAUGUUACGUACAGGAAAUUAAUAAAUAAAAAAAGCACAACAACAAGUAAAAAUGCAUGUAACAAUGGUGAUAUCUUGAAGGAGAGACUUCCUUUCAUCAAAACCAAAUGCUUUAAUUGCAGCGAUGUUCACAAUAUCCCAGAACAUUUUUGCAUGACUAGAGAUGCUAGAGCCUCACCAGUAACAUCCUCAGCAAAAAUGAGAAUGGGCUCCCAGUGGGGUGGCUUUCUCCAACAAAGGUACGAUUUCUUUGCCUUGUCAAAUUUAACAACUAAUGUCUCAGGAGU